UACGAAGGGGGCUAGCGUUGUUCGGAAUUACUGGGCGUAAAGGGCGCGUAGGCGGUACUUCAAGUCAGGCGUGAAAGCCCCGGGCUCAACCUGGGAACCGCGCUUGAGACUGGAGAACUAGAGUUCGGGAGAGGAUGGUGGAAUUCCCAGUGUAGAGGUGAAAUUCGUAGAUAUUGGGAAGAACACCGAUGGCGAAGGCAGCCAUCUGGACAGUGACUGACGCUGAGACGCGAAAGCGUGGGGAGCAAACAGG
rnacentral:rRNA from 1 species